GACAGAGGUGCCGAGCGUUAGGCGGAAUCACUGGGCUUAAAGCGUGUGUAGGCGGAUUGCUAAGUACCUUGUGAAAUCCCACGGCUUAACCGUGGAACUGCUUGGUAUACUGGUUCUCUUGGGUCAUCUAGGGGCGAGCGGAACAAACGGUGGAGCGGUGAAAUGCGUAGAUAUCGUUUGGAACGCCAAUGGUGAAAACAGCUCGCUGGGGAUGAACCGACGCUGAGACACGAAAGCCAGGGGAGCGAACGGG
rnacentral:rRNA from 1 species